rnacentral:rRNA from 1 species
CGCAUCUGUGCAUGCAGCAUAUCAAUAAGCGGAGGAAAAGAAGUAUACCUACGCUUAGGAUGUUGAUACCUACGCUUAGGAUGUUGACGAGACUGUCGAUCUCAUCUAUACAUGACUCUGUGCAUAUCAAUAAGCGGAGGAAAAGAAACUAACAAGGAUUCCCUUAGUAACGGCGAGUGAAGCGGGAAGAGCUCAAAUUUGAAGUCUUCAAGGUUUUACCUUGACGAAUUGUAGUUUAAAGAAGUGUUUUCUGCUGAAGUUUUGGUAAAAGUUCUUUGGAAUAGGACAUCAUAGAGGGUGAGAAUCCCGUAUUUGACCAUUAUUUUCAGCUUUGUGAUACACUUUCAAAGAGUCGGAUUGUUUGGGAAUGCAGUCCAAAAUGGGUGGUAAAUUUCAGUCUAAAGCUAAAUAUUGGCGAGAGACCGAUAGCGAACAAGUACCGUGAGGGAAAGAUGAAAAGAACUUUGAAAAGAGAGUUAAACAGUACGUGAAAUUGUCAAAAGGGAAGCGUUUGACACCAGUGUUGUUUUCUCGAAAAUCAAUUAAAAAUGGCUCGAUUUUGUAUUGCUUGAGACCUUAAAAGCUCACUGUACAUUUUUCGUGUCUUUUUUAAUGCACUUUUCGUUUAACAAGUCAACAUCAGUUUCUUUUGUUGUAAAAGGGUCAUUGGAAGGUGGCUUUCUUUUCGGAGAAAGUGUUUAUAGCCUUUGGCCUCUGCAACCGGAAGAGACUGAGGUCUGCAGCGUAGACUCUUCGGGGUUAGAUACAUUUGUGCUAAGUUAUAGCUUUUUAUAGACAACUUGUUGACUAUAAUUAGUCUUGUAGCUUACUCGCUUAUGCUAUUUUACCUACGCUUAGGAUGUUGACGCAUGAGAUAUACGC